GACGAACGCUGGCGGCGUGCCUAAUACAUGCAAGUAGGACGCAGUUGCGAACGGGUGAGUAACGCGUAGGUAACUGCCUAUUAGAGGGGGAUAACUAUUGGAAACGAUAGCUAAUACCGCAUACUAGUAGAUGGACCUGCGUUGUAUUAGAUAGUAGGUGGGGUAAUGGCCUACCUAGGCGACGAUACAUAGCCGACCUGAGAGGGUGAUCGGCCACACUGGGACUGAGACACGGCCCAGAGUCCUACUGGAGGCAGCAGGAGGGAAAUUUCGGCAAUGGGGGGAACCCUUAACGAGCAACGCCGCGGUAGUGAAGAAGGUUUUCGGAUCGUAAAGCUCUGUUGUUAAGGAAGCGGUACUUAACCAGAAAGGGACGGCUAACUACGUGCCAGCAGCCGCGGUAAUUC
rnacentral:rRNA from 1 species